CUCGGUCAACCCGUAGAAUCGAAUUUGUGUUUAGCAAAUAAAAAAGCACGAUUCGUUUUUCGGGUAGACCGAAU
rnacentral:pre_miRNA from 12 species